AGCCUGAUCCAGCAAUGCCGCGUGAGUGAUGAAGGCCUUAGGGUUGUAAAGCUCUUUUACCCGGGAUGAUAAUGACAGUACCGGGAGAAUAAGCUCCGGCUAACUCCGUGCCAGCAGCCGCGGUAAUA
rnacentral:rRNA from 1 species